rnacentral:lncRNA from 1 species
CUCAGUCCUAUAAACACCACCAACAGAAUGAACUUGGAAGCAGAUUUUCCCCCAGAGCAUCCAGAUAAGAACUCAGUCCACUCAACAUCUUCAGCUUUGUGAUAUUCCAGGCAUAUUGUGCUGAACUUCUGACUUACAGAACUAGUCAGUCCUGAAAGGAUUAUAAAAGCAAGAAAGAAACAUGGACUCUAAGAAUUAACAACAGUGUGGGAAGCCACGGAGGAGAUUUAUGACUACCCUAAAUUGGUUUGUGUUUGGAUGGAUGACUAUUUCCUGCUCUUUAUUACUAGAAAUUGGCAGCAACAUCUCAGAUUGGAUAAUGGUACUGGUGGAAUAAUUACCAGAAAGAAAAAAACAUCCCCACUAAAGUGAUGAAAACAUGUACAGAUUGUCCAACCUUUUGCUUUUG